GUGGUACCAUCUUUAUGAGUAACCGAGGACACGGGGACUUGGAAACAGCCAUAUUUAAGUAGCACCCAAGCAAUACAUCCCGAGAAGCUGGAAGUUUUAUGGACAAUGGAAAAAAAGACUGGCUUAAAUAUAAACCCAAGUGACCCUCUUCCUAAGUGCUAUUAAUUCAAUCGGGAUUCCUGGAAUGGAGAUAAAGCAACUGAGAAGCCCCAUUCUGGUCUCUGGUCAACAAAAGAACAGCAAACUCUCUUUUGCAGGCUUUGACAAAGCCAUAUGGAGAAGCCCUCAUGGCAAUGAACUGGGAGCAGCUCUGGCUAAUGACCAGAUAACAGCUGAAGCUUUCAUUCCAACAGCCCACAAGAUCUAAACCCUGCCAACAUUCAUGA